GUCCAGACUCCUACGGGAGGCAGCAGUGGGGGAUAUUGCACAAUGGGGGGAACCCUGAUGCAGCGACGCCGCGUGAGCGAAGAAGUACCUCGGUAUGUAAAGCUCUAUCAGCAGGGAAGAAAAUGACGGUACCUGACUAAGAAGCCCCGGCUAAAUACGUGCCAGCAGCCGCGGUAAUACGUAUGGGGCAAGCGUUAUCCGGAUUUACUGGGUGUAAAGGGAGCGCAGGCGGCCUGCCAAGUCUGGUGUGAAAACCCGGGGCCCAACCCCGGGCCUGCAUUGGAAACUGGCGGGCUGGAGUGUCGGAGGGGCAGGCGGAAUUCCUAGUGUAGCGGUGAAAUGCGUAGAUAUUAGGAGGAACACCGGUGGCGAAGGCGGCCUGCUGGACGAUGACUGACGCUGAGGCUCGAAAGCGUGGGGAGCAAACAGGAUUAGAUACCCUUGUA
rnacentral:rRNA from 1 species